rnacentral:rRNA from 1 species
UACGGAGGGGACUAGCGUUGUUCGGAAUUACUGGGCGUAAAGCGCACGUAGGCGGAUUUGUAAGUCAGGGGUGAAAUCCCGGGGCUCAACCUCGGAACUGCCUUUGAUACUGCAAAUCUCGAGUCCGGAAGAGGUGAGUGGAAUUCCUAGUGUAGAGGUGAAAUUCGUAGAUAUUAGGAAGAACACCGGUGGCGAAGGCGACCAUCUGGACGGAUACUGACGCUGAGACGCGAAAGCGUGGGUAGCAAACAGG